rnacentral:lncRNA from 1 species
GCCCUUCUCCAUCCUUUCUUGUUUUCUUUCUUUUAUUUUUGUAUUAGUUUCAGCCAUGAGUGGCUGAAACCCUUUUUCUAGUUGAAGAAUAAGGUGAAACUUUAGUUGUUUAUGGAUUAGGAGAUCUGAACAUGUUAUGUUAAUCUUUUAUUUAUCAAUAUUUAUGCAAUUUGAUGCUGAAUUCUAUUAUUGCUUUGUUAUUUAGAUCAAUAGGGCCCAUUGAUUCUUGAUUGCAAAGUGAUAAUUUCUUAGUUUGGAUAGUUUGAAGUCCGUAAUUGCUUGAAUUAUUCAAACACAAGUAACCCUUGGUGUAAAAACCUAGGAAAUUGCAUAAUCUAGCAAUAUCACCAUACGUUUGGGUAGCUAGAAUUAGGUCUCUCUAUUUCUUAAUGCAAUUAACAGUUGUUAGAU